rnacentral:rRNA from 1 species
UACCAGCACCCCGAGUGGUCUGGACGAUUAUUGGGCCUAAAGCGUCCGUAGCCGGUUCUGCAAGUCUUCCGUUAAAUCCAGCUGCUCAACAGAUGGGCUGCGGGGGAUACUACAGGGCUAGGAGGCGGGAGAGGCAAGCGGUACUUUAUGGGUAGGGGUAAAAUCCGUUGAUCCAUAGAAGACCACCAGUGGCGAAGGCGGCUUGCCAGAACGCGCUCGACGGUGAGGGAUGAAAGCUGGGGGAGCAAACCGG